UACGUAGGGGGCAAGCGUUGUCCGGAAUCAUUGGGCGUAAAGCGCGUGUAGGCGGCUUGGUAAGUCCGCUCUGAAAGCCCGGGGCUCAACCCCGGGAGGCGGGUGGAUACUGUCAAGCUCGAGUCCGGAAGAGGCGAGUGGAAUUCCUGGUGUAGCGGUGAAAUGCGCAGAUAUCAGGAGGAACACCAAUGGCGAAGGCAGCUCGCUGGGACGUGACCGACGCUGAGACGCGAAAGCGUGGGGAGCAAACAGG
rnacentral:rRNA from 1 species